rnacentral:rRNA from 1 species
ACGCUGGCGGCGGCCUAACAAUGCAAGUCGAGCGGGCAUCGCAAGAUGUCAGCGGCAGACGGGAGAGUAACACGUGGGAACAUGCCCUUCGGUUCGGAAUAACUCAGGGAAACUUGAGCUAAUACCGGAUACGUCCGUAAGGAGAAAGAUUUAUCGCCGAAGGAUUGGCCCGCGUCCGAUUAGCUAGUUGGUGAGGUAACGGCUCACCAAGGCGACGAUCGGUAGCUGGUCUGAGAGGAUGAUCAGCCUCACUGGGACUGAGACACGGCCCAGACUCCUACGGGAGGCAGCAGUGGGGAAUAUUGGACAAUGGGCGCAAGCCUGAUCCAGCCAUGCCGCGUGGGUGAUGAAGGCCCUAGAGUUGUAAAGCCCUUUCGGCGGGGAAGAUAAUGACGGUACCCGCAGAAGAAGCCCCGGCUAACUUCGUGCCAGCAGCC